rnacentral:lncRNA from 1 species
GGACUGGCUCUGGCCUCGCCGGCUGCAGGAGCGCCUCGCGGGGCCGCCCGCCUAUUCCAUGGUCGGCGCGAUGGGGGCCGGGGCCGGGCCGGAGCGAACAGGGAGCACCGAGCGAGCUGGGAGCAUGAGCUAGCGCAGCUCCCGGCAGCCUGCAGCGGCGAGGCUGGUCGGGCCAGGGUUGGCGGGGGGCAGUGCCUGGGACACAGCCCGGCGCUGGCCGGCAUGGCGGGGAGGGGGCGCGCUGGGAGGAGACUGGGCUGGGGAGGGAUCCCUGUGUGCAGUCCUUCAACCCUUCUGUGCCAGGGGAAGAGGGACGGCGCAGGGGGCCCCCUCUCGGGAAGCACACACGCUGCCUCCCAGAGGCCGAUCUUCACCAAGAAGGAUUCGCUGGAAACUUUCGGAAAACCGAGGGGCUCUUCAGCCUCCUCUCUACGUGCUACCUGGAGUCGGGGCGCCGCGAGUGCGCUUGGCUGCCCGCGCCCAGCCUCUGGCCUCGCCUCUUCUCGCGGGCCUCCCGGGUUUCCCUCUGCCCCCUUGCGGGGAUCCCCCUGUGCGCCCGACUCGGGAUCUGGAACAGGCCUCCCCAGAGGCUGUUAGUUCCAUAAGGGUGUCCGGCUCCCCCCUCUGUCUUGGGCUCACACUUCGCUUUCUGUUCGUGCUGGACCAAGUCCAAUACUGUGGCUGAUCGAAGUGGGGACAGCUGGCACGGUCCCUGGAGAGGCGGCCUGAAGAGGCUUCUGGCCUUGUGCAGUCUUUGGAAGCUCCCUCCAGAAACCGAACUGUGAAAGGAGCAAGAGUUGAAAUGAAGAAUGUGCUCUGAUACUUCAGUCUGAGAGUAUUUCUUUCCUGGAGAGAGAGGCAUCACUCCUAGAUGUGUGGGGGUCUUCACCCUUUCAGGAAUAAGACAGGUGUCUUUACAGAGCACCUCCCCACCUUGGGCUGGGUUCUGGGGUCACUGUCUACUCCCCCUGUUUUGACCUUCCAUAAACAUUCUGUUUUCAGGUCCCUGCAGAGACUUUGGACCUGAUGUGGUGAAUAAAGUUGGUUAGUCUUUCUCACAGUUCUACCUUUAGGACAAAGAAUAGAAAGCCUCCCGUGACUAUAUUCACUAACUCUCAGCCCAGGCCAGAUCAUCCACCAGCCAGUGAAAGGGACCUCGUCUGUGGCCAAACUAGGUGCAGCUCGGUGCCCUCCUGUGAUAUUUCCAGCUCUCCAGCCUCCUGCUGACCACAGCUCACAGACCUCAUGGAGUAGUUUCCAGGACAAAGCAAGGUUAUGUCUCCACAACACCAAACAUUCCCAGGUGUGGCAGGCAAGCCAUUGAUUUAGAAGAGAGGAGGAGAGAGGAAGAGAAAACCAGAAAAGGCACUUUCUUGGUAAAGAGACAUCAGCUUUCUCACCAUGGCUGUUUCAUAACACAAGGAGACCUGGCCCAAGCUCAGAGGGGAAAGACCCCUGGGUGUUCAUGGAAAACCUUUAAGCACAGUGAGACCAAAUGUUAGUAGAUGGGGGAUAAAAGGGAGAAAUUCAUGGAGUAUGCCUAGAACAGGCCUUGUAUGCAGCAUCCCCUUCUUGCCUAGGACUUGAAGGGCCAGGCUUCCUGUCAUUGCCUCACUCAAAUGUAGCCCAGGAAGACAUUAGACUGAUAGCACUGAUCACCUCCAGACAAAACCCCUGCACCUGCACAGUCACAUAGACUUGGACAAAAGCCCAUCCUUACUAAGGAAGACCUAACAACUAUUUCUUCUCACGCCCAUUCUUGUCCACCGUCUUUAUCAAAAAGCCAGGAAAACUGCUUCUUCAGACACUUUCUGAGCCGGCUGUAUUUUGAAGGACAAAAAAAAAAAAAUUACUCUUUUGAGAGCAUUGUGUCUGCAAGGUGGGCUCACGUUAUUUUUGGUGAUCAGUUUAUGACUGGAGUUCAAAUAGACUGCUUAUUUUAUAAGAGUUUUUAAUUUUGAAUAUUCUUUUUGCUGAACUGUGUGCAUUUGUUUGGUUUUUAACUCACCACAUGAAUAUGACUAUAGAUUUUUUUUUCCUAGUUGACCAUGGUCAGAUUCACAAUUGCCUUUAAAAAAAAUUUGUUGGCUGGGCACGGUGGCUCACGCCUGUAAUCCCAACACUUUAGGAGGCUGAAGCAGGUGGAUCAUCUGAGGUCAGAAGUUCGAGGCCAACCUGGCCAACAUGGUGAAACUCCGUCUCUACUAAAAAUACAAAAAUUAGCCAGGCAGGGUGGCGCAUGCCUGUAAUCCCAGCUACUCAGGAGGCUAAGGCAGGAGACUCUCUUGAACCCGGAAGGUGGAGGUUGCAGUGAGCCGAGAUCACGACACUGCACUCCAGCCUGGGUGGCAGAGCGAGACUCUGUCUCAGAAGAAAAAAAAAAAAAAAAGAAAAUGUGUUGAAGUAUAACAUACAUGAGGCAAAACGCACACAGCUUAAGCAUUAACUCAAUGACUCUGUAUAUACGUAUACAUCCUCACAGGUUCCAGACCAAGACAUGGAACAUUUCCUGCUCUCCCUGAAAGUCUCCCUGUGCCAGCCCCUCACCAGGCAAUAAUUCCCCAGAGAUAGUGCCUCUUCCCAACCCUGUACCCUAGAUCAUUGUUGCCUGUCCUUGAACCUCAGAUAAAGGGAGGCUCCUUUUGCCCAUCUUCGUUUUUGUGAUGUCUGUCCAUUGUGGUGUGCAUAGCUGUGAUUUGUUCUUUUUCACACUGUGAAGGUGUAGGUGGUUUUCACCUGAUGCUUCAGUUCCCUUCCAACUUUAGUAUAAGCCAAGAAUAAUCAAACCACUACAUCUGGAUCAGAGACAAAUGACCUCCCAGAUUGGCUAGUUUUGUAAGGAACUUCAGUUGAAAUUGAAACAGUCAUCAGCUGCUUCUCAAACCAGCUACACUACAUAAGGAGGAGCCCAAGGGAAACUGCAGGACAACAGGUCCACUGGGAAACUUCAGGGGGCCAAGCUGUCAAAGACAAGCACAGAAAAAUUCCUGCAAUGUGCGUUAGACCUUGAGGCAGCUUUUAAUGGCAAAAGUCAGUACAACCCAUUUCCUUUUUCUCUAAAUGAGAGGAAAGUAGAAUAGGUUCCAUCAGGAAAGAGUCACACCCAGGCCAUGACAAACUCAUGGAGGAUCCUGUCAAUCAAAUUCCUUUCUGCUGGGCAGAAAAAGUAUGUGGGAGCUUGUUAGUAAGGUGCAUUCCCAACCUAUCCUGAGGAUGUGGGACUCAGGAAGCCCAACAAUCUGCCCUAUUUACAAGGUCCCAGGUAUCCUUUCAUAUUAAGAUUUGAGACCUGCUGUUUCAGAGAAAGGGACAGCUUGGCAUGUAUUUUUUGGUAAAUCCUGGAGGGCAAGUCUAAAAAGCAAAAAAUAUACCGCCCAGCACCUAUUUGUUGAUAUUUUAAAUUGACUUGUUUGGGGUGUUUGGAAGAAAUAAAGA